rnacentral:rRNA from 1 species
UACAGAGGUCUCAAGCGUUGUUCGGAAUCAUUGGGCGUAAAGGGCGCGUAGGCGGCUCCGUAAGUCAGGGGUGAAAUCCUGGGGCUCAACCCCGGAACUGCACUUGAUACUGCGGUGCUUGAGUACUGGAGAGGAGAUUGGAAUUUACGGUGUAGCAGUGAAAUGCGUAGAUAUCGUAAGGAAGACCAGUGGCGAAGGCGAAUCUCUGGACAGUUACUGACACUGAGGCACGAAGGCCAGGGGAGCAAACGGG